UACGUAGGCAGCAAGCGUUGUUCGGAAUUACUGGGCGUAAAGAGUGUGUAGGCGGUGUUCUAAGUCUGGUGUGAAAUCUCCCGGCUCAACUGGGAGGGUGCGCUAGAAACUGGAAUGCUAGAGGAUGGGAGAGGUAAGCGGAAUUCCUGGUGUAGCGGUGAAAUGCGUAGAUAUCAGGAGGAACACCGGUGGCGAAGGCGGCCCUCUGGACGGAUACUGACGCUGAGACGCGACAGCGUGGGGAGCAAACAGG
rnacentral:rRNA from 1 species